AUUGAACGCUGGCGGCAGGCCUAACACAUGCAAGUCGAACGGUAACAGGAAGAAGCUUGCUUCUUUGCUGACGAGUGGCGGACGGGUGAGUAAUGUCUGGGAAACUGCCUGAUGGAGGGGGAUAACUACUGGAAACGGUAGCUAAUACCGCAUAACGUCGCAAGACCAAAGAGGGGGACCUUCGGGCCUCUUGCCAUCGGAUGUGCCCAGAUGGGAUUAGCUAGUAGGUGGGGUAACGGCUCACCUAGGCGACGAUCCCUAGCUGGUCUGAGAGGAUGACCAGCCACACUGGAACUGAGACGCGGUCCAGACUCCUACGGGAGGCAGCAGUGGGGAAUAUUGCACAAUGGGCGCAAGCCUGAUGCAGCCAUGCCGCGUGUAUGAAGAAGGCCUUCGGGUUGUAAAGUACUUUCAGCGGGGAGGAAGGGAGUAAAGUUAAUACCUUUGCUCAUUGACGUUACCCGCAGAAGAAGCACCGGCUAACUCCG
rnacentral:rRNA from 1 species